CCUGCCCUCCUGGCUCCGCUGCCGAGGGUCACGUGGCAGCUGCUCCACCAGGAGGUCUAUGAAUGAGCGCUUGCUCCCAGCUCCCAAGAUGCUUCCAGUCUUUUCCUUCCUGGUUGUGGAUGCAGAGCUGGAAACCGGAAAUUCCCUCUGUUGUAAGUCCCCUUCCCUAGGAGCUGGCCUCACUGGAGCUUGACAAGAGUUCGAGCCGGGAGUUCUGAGAGCAAGAGGAGACACUAAAGAGAGAAGUGACUUUCUCGUUACUUGCCCCGGCUCAUCCAUCUUUUCUGCACCUCAGCCCUCAGUGGCCCUUGUUCUUGCCUUCAGAUGAGGAUGUAGAACUCUCAGUUCCUCCUGCACCAUGCCUGCCUGGAUGCUGCCAUGUUCCUGCCUUGAUGAUAAUGGACUGACCCUCUGAACCUGGCUGAGUCACUGGAGCAUCUAUCUGCACGCUGGUGCGGUUUCGACUUUCGCCCAAGUGCAUAGUG
rnacentral:lncRNA from 1 species